CGCACAUCUCUCGGGCUCGUCACGCAACGUCGCCCACGCCCCGUCCCUUCCGUCAUCACGUAGACGAGUCUGCAGGCGUCCCCGGGCCGCGCGAGAGGGCGAGGGAGCGGUCACGGAAGAAUAACAUCUUUCCUGACAAGGGGAAUCAUUCUGCUGCUUGUUCUAUAUACCCUUGAGAUUGGGUUUGAGGAAAUCCAAGUGUGAGCACAAGGAAUGAUUCAGGAACUGUGUAGUUGGAAUGACUGAAAGUGUUCUGCAAUAAAUUGUGGUCCAUUGGCACAGACCAAGUAUUCUGGAACACCAGACAUUGAGAAGAGGCUCCUCAAUAGCUUAACAGUGUGAAAGGCUGCAGUGGAAUACUUAUGGCUACUACCAAGAAAUUUGUGCCUAUGAAUAGUCUGGCAAAAUCCUCAUGAAUCCUCUGCCAAGGCAAUGCAAGUUAUUCCCAGGGUUGGGGAGGCGCUGCUCUUGGCAUCUACUAGACGUGUUCCAACCCAAACAAUACAUAGCAAGCUGCUCAAUCUGCUGAUCUAUCCCAGGCCACUAGACAAAGCUUCAAGCCAACACUUACACUUUGACGAUGCCUCAAUGACCAGCAUGUAGCUUCUCCAACAAUUUAGCUGUCAGCUUCAGUGGUAGAACAACUCCCAAUCACCAUACCUCCGAAAAGGCAAGUUCAUCCCGACACUGCUAAAAAUGGGAGAACAGGAAUUUCUGCUGCAUAUUCCAGCCUUUUUGGGUGGCCACAUAGACCUGACGGCAUGGGGUCUUUUUUGUUUUCCCUUCAAAUCAUCUCUGCCGUAAUAGAGAGAUUUUCGAAGUGUGUUAAAGAGAAUACGUCAAGAGGAGUAUCCACAUUCAUUAGUUUUUCAGGUAUUUCCUUUUACAAGGGUAAAUGGGAAAAUCCAUCAGCAUUUCCAUGAUUAGUUGUCCUCUUGAAUUUGAUAUUGUCAAUGUGGCCUCCAAGAAACAGAGCCCAUCUCUGCAUUUGUGCUGCUACUGUUAGUGGAACACCCUUCUGUGAUUGAAAAUGGGCACAGGCAGUUGAUGAUCAGUAAUGAGGGUAAACUUUCUCCAAUUACUCAUUGAAAUGUCUUACCCCCCCCCCCCCCCCACCCAAACCAGACUCAAGGCCUCUGUCAAUCUGUGUGUAAUUUUUCUCUGCAGUGGUAAGGGAACAUGAUGCAAAGGCUAUGGGGCGUUCAAUUCCAUCACUCAUAAUAUGUGAUAUGACUGCACCUAUGCCAUUAGGCGAGGUGCCAAAGGCAAACUUCACUGGACAUUGUACAGUGUCUGAUGUCACUAUUUCCUUUCUCUUUUGGAAAGCCACAUUUUGGCUUUUAUUUCUCUCAUGGUCAGAAGGACGCUCUUGCUUCAAUGGAAAGAUGCGGCCCCUCCUAUUCACGCCCAAUGGUUACGGGAUGUGAUGUCAUGCUUAAAUUUAGAGAAGAUUCGAAGUUCAAUCUCUGAAUCUAGUCAAGACUUUCAGACAUUGUGGGGACCUUUUCUGAAUUAUUUUCAAAACCUUUGAUUUGCUGUUAAAGCACAGAUGAUGACUAUUUUUUUCCCCAUUUUUUUGCUUUACUAAUCAGCUUCAGUCUUGGUAUUGGGUUAGAUUUUUUUAAUAUAAUAAAAUUACUAUAUUUCAAUGCUACGGAUUAACUAACCUGUAUGAAUAUAGGGUUAGGAGUCUUUAUAUGCGAUUUAGUAUAAUGUAUUGAUAAAUAUAUUUUUUCCUGUAGUCAGUAUUCUUAUAAGUAAAUUAAUUAAUAAAAAUAUUGGAAAAGAAAAGGAAAGGCACAUCAGACUGCUUUGUCCAUUGCCAUUUCUUCCCGAUCUGUAGUAAUGAGUAAAAGGAGUGGAGCACAGCAGCCAGGUUUGGUGGGAAACUGUUUUAGCAAUUGAUGAACCCUAAAGUGGACCCCAAGCGUGAUAAGUCCUUUGGCCCUGGGCUAUCCACCAGUAUUUGAAUUUUCUCAACACACUGGUGUAAAUUUUGUGUGUCAAUGGUGUGACCACAGCAAGUACUGUUUGGUUUAAAGAAUUCACACCUGGUGAGCUGUGCUCUGAGUCCAUAAUGUGAUAGGAGAGGAGAGUGGACCACAGGAGAAAGAGAGGGGAUCUGAGGAAGUAAUAGGCAG